rnacentral:rRNA from 1 species
UACUGAGGGGGCAAGCGUUGUUCGGAAUUACUGGGCGUAAAGGGCGCGUAGGUGGCCUUCUAAGUUGAACGUGAAAUCCCUGGGCUCAACCCAGGAACUGCGUCCAAGACUGGGAGGCUUGAAUCCGGGAGAGGGAUGCGGAAUUCCAGGUGUAGCGGUGAAAUGCGUAGAUAUCUGGAGGAACACCGGUGGCGAAGGCGGCAUCCUGGACCGGUAUUGACACUGAGGCGCGAAAGCCAGGGGAGCAAACGGG